UACGGAAGGGGCGAGCGUUGUUCGGAAUCAUUGGGCGUAAAGGGCGCGUAGGUGGUUCUGUAUGUCUAUCGUGAAAGCGUACGGCUCAACCGUAUUUUGUCGGUAGAAACUGCAGGACUUGAGGCUGGGAGGGGCUGGUGGAAUUCCCUGUGUAGCGGUGAAAUGCGUAGAGAUGGGGGAGAACACUCGUGGCGAAGGCGGCCAGCUAGACCAGUUCUGACACUGAGGCGCGACAGCGUGGGGAGCAAACAGG
rnacentral:rRNA from 1 species